rnacentral:rRNA from 1 species
CUAGUAAUCGCGGAUCAGAAUGCCGCGGUGAAUACGUUCCCGGGUCUUGUACACACCGCCCGUCACACCAUGGGAGUCGGGAACGCCCGAAGCCGGUGGCCGAACCCGAGAGGGGAGGAGCCGUCGAAGGCGGGCCUGGUAACUGGGGUGAAGUCGUAACAAGGUAGC